rnacentral:rRNA from 1 species
GAUGAACGCUGGCGGCGUGCCUAAUACAUGCAAGUCGAGCGAACGGACGAGAAGCUUGCUUCUCUGAUGUUAGCGGCGGACGGGUGAGUAACACGUGGAUAACCUACCUAUAAGACUGGGAUAACUUCGGGAAACCGUAGCUAAUACCGGAUAAUAUUUUGAACCGCAUGGUUCAAAAGUGAAAGACGGUCUUGCUGUCACUUAUAGAUGGAUCCGCGCUGCAUUAGCUAGUUGGUAAGGUAACGGCUUACCAAGGCAACGAUGCAUAGCCGACCUGAGAGGGUGAUCGGCCACACUGGAGCUUGGCCACGGUCCAGAGUCCUACGGGAGGCAGCAGUAGGGAAUCUUCCGCAGAGGGCGAAAGCCUGACGGAGCAACGCCGCGUGAGUGAUGAAGGUCUUCGGAUCGUAAAACUCUGUUAUUAGGGAAGAACAUAUGUGUAAGUAACUGUGCACAUCUUGACGGUACCUAAUCAGAAAGCCACGGCUAACUACGUG